AGGGUGAGACGGAAACAGGGAGAGCAGCAAUUCUGUGAAUGGGGAGACAGAAACACAACACCAUAAACAGCCCAGAGAGCAAGACAGUGAGACUGAGAAAGAGGGGCGGAGGACUUAGGGGUGCACACACUGGAGAUGGGAAGCCAGCCUUAUUCCGCUUUGCAUUUCAUUUACAUCCCUGGCCGUAUCGACCAAUCGGAUUGGGAGCAAAGCCCAGGGCUUAGGAGGGGAAUAAAAAGACAAAAUGCCUUUGCUGCUCUCAUCCCUCCCUGAUAAUACCCCUUCUGUUUUUCUUUUCUCUUUUUCUCCCGUCUAUAAGUAGAUACUGUCCGAAAUGCCAGCGGAAAAGCGACACCUCCGCUUGCUGUAUAUCUCAGAUAGACCGAGCGGGAGCAGGGGCUGAAAAGACAGCUUUAGCAACUGGGCCUAUCUCCUCUCCUCUCCCUGGCUGGAUGGAAGCUUGGAGUGGAGGGAGGCGGAGGGCCGGGGUGUGUUGGUUAGUGUUUGGGAAGAGAAUAGAGGGUGUGAGAGGCAUGAUAUACUGAGCUGGCCACAGAUUUUGCAGAAUCUUGCACUCUAAAAAACUUUGCCUGCAGAUCCCUUUCCUAAGCAUGAGAAACCUGUUUCAAGGAUGUUUACGAGGUGCCACCCAUCUUUGUGAAGGUUGCCAAUGCUUGCUACCAAACUCCACACAUAUUUUUAGCUUUGGAUAGUGGUUAUUGUAGUGGACUAAGUUGCAGGUUUAUCCGAAAUGGAAACUCUUGUCAGUUAACUGCAAUGCUUUAGAUAACAGUGGAUUUUUAACACAGUGGAACCUUAAGAUAAACAUAUCUUAACAUACUUAACAAUAACAAGCUAUUGUUAUUUUGGCUACAUUAAAUAUUUUCCUAUAUAACUCAGCAAUGUGUAUUGGGUAGAAUUAGGCCCAUUAACACCAGUCUGUGUUGACACGAUGUCAUGAUUGACUUGUCUCAGGUUUUUGUUUGUUAUCACUCUUGAUGUGUGUGUUUCUCAGUGUGUGGUAGCCACUGUUUGUAUGUCAGGUACAGUAUGUUUGCAGGUUUACUGAAUUUAUUUGUACAGGUGUUUGUUGUGCUCUCCCCAUUGUGAUUCCUGUUUGUAUUUGGGUUGCUAUGCGUCUAUUGUGCCAAAAUGGACAAAGUGUUUAUACUCUUUCUAAGUGUCUUUUCUGUAUGUAAAGGACUAUGUUAUUGUCUUGGUGCUCACGUCUUUGUGUAGGCGCACCCAGACUAUUGUACUGCCACUGACUGGACGCAGUGCUGGCAUCACUGCUGAUAUAGAGCUUAUUGAAAGUGAUUGUUGUUGCACAGAUGAGAGUUUAUCUCAGUAUGGGUUUGCGGCAAAGCAUUCAGACAUAGAGAGGGUCCUUUACCUGCCUCCACCAGACGCAUGUGAAAGAUAAGGUCACCUUAGGACCCUGUGUGGACCCCCUCCACCGUCACAGCGUCCUCAUACUCCUCAGCCUGCACAACCUCACCCCUCUAGUAAAACAAACCAAACAAUAGAAGCAGAUAUGUGAGGGAUUAGAGGUCAGAGGGUUGGGGAAUGCAACAUCUCCAUUUCCAGGAUCAAUCUUCAACCGCUUGGUAAUCUAUGGCCCCAGGCCCCACAUACCUCCAGUGGUCUCUCUGGCUGAGAGCUGGCAUUGCCAGGCGGUGUGAGCUGGUACUUCUGCUGGGUGUGGGGGGCUGAUAGGAUAGUGGGGAGUGGGGUUAUAACCUGACAGUGUGCAUGGAUGGAAGAGCACAGGGAUGAGUAACAAAGGGUCCCUACUUUAUUUUCAAACCUCACCUAAAUCCUCACAGAUAGGUGUGUGUGUUUGUUUGUGUGUGUUUGCCAAUGUACGACACAGACACAAUCUUAAAGUGUGUCUGUGUACUUUGUGUGCACAUGUUCGGAAAGAGUGUUUUAAUUUGUAAAUGUAAAAUAACUGAGUUCUUUAGCACAAACUGAAUAUUAUCCCCAAGUUCCCGUUAUCUUGUGUACACACAUUUGUUUAUUUGAUACAGCCUCUCUCCUCUACAGCACUUCUGUAUAUCAAAGACAGCAGUGCAGAGCGCAAUUGAAAAUGGCUACCGUGGAGAAAGGUCUCUCUCUGCUUUUGACUGCGAAGAGGCAGAAAAAGCCCUAUUCUCCGCUCCCUUCUUAGAUCUAUUUAAAUAAUUGAGGAGUAAACUGACAAAUUAGGCACCUUUAUGGACGCCCCUGGGCUCUCUCUGGGGUCCUUUAGUUUCCCCAAUACAAGAGAGUGCCACCAGCCACAGGAUAAUAUCUCUGUGUGCUUUGAGAGGGAGGAGGGAAGGAGGGUAGUGGGCCAGGAGGGGUUUCGCCAAUCAAGCGGGCCACACUUCCUCCCCCAGGUUCUAAUUUUUUGCCACAUUAAAGAGCUCGGCCUCCAUUUAGGACACAGAGAGGCAUUUUCAUAAUUUGCCGGGUCUCUCGACUAGCUCGGGGUGCCUUUUUUCCUCUCUCUCCUCCCUCUCUCUCACUCCGUGUCUGAAUGGAAGGCCUGGGGAGGAAGAGGGGUAAUUCAUUCGCCUCCUUUCAGCCAACCGGCUUCAGUUCUGCAUAAUGUUGCUGCUAGGUGUGUAAAGCAGCUAAUAUUUAUCUCUUUAAUAAUUCUCUAUUAGACCUGAAUAUUAUUUGCUGUGUAAAAGCUAACACUGCUUAUUGUCAGCUAUACAAAAAUGGUGUCAUUCAGGUUUUGUUGAUACAUUAAAGCUAAAUCAUAUGCCUGUAUAGUUAGGAGUUAAAGACUAUAGUGUGUCUAAUCUAUGACCAUGCAGCCAGCUAUGAUGCUUACAUCGAUAACAUCUGUGAUGUAGUAUACAUACAGUGCAUAAUCUAGGCUAAGGUUGUCUCAUUUGCUCUUUCUGACACCAUCCAUUCAUGCACUACAGUAUGCGUAAGCAUUGAUUCAUAUGUGAUUGGUCACAUAAUUCACAGUCUCAGGGGGCAUUUCAUCGCUGAGAGACAAGCUAAUCUAAAAUCCCCCAAUUUACAAAUGAAAAUCCCACCAUCCAAUUGAGCUAAUAGAGGGACUUGAAUGGGAUAAUAAGAUGUGGUGUAAUACUGUGUAAAAAGCCUGUAAUGUUGUGUUGGUGUAAGAGCCCGUGUGACUGGAUGUUUGACUGUUUGCAGUGAUUACAGGGGCCUGCGGGCCUGGCGGCAGCUCCGUGGCUGGGACAGGGAGCUUCUCCCUGGGUAAGGAGAUACGCCUGUCUGCCCCUUCUGCUGGAGCUACAGGGACCAGGAUGUCAGGAGGGAGAGUGCUCCCUGUGAGCGCUCUCUCUCUCUUUUUCACUCUGUCUCUUUCUGUCUGUCUCUCUCUCCCUCUCGUUCCCGGUCUCGCUGUGUCUGUACUAUUGCAGUGCUUGCAGAUGUGCACAAACAAGGGAGGAUUAAAGCAAAACGAAUCUAAACAGACAAAUGGAAUUAGAGUGAUGGGUGUCGGUGGGCUGGUUCACAGUGAUAAACAUAAUGAUGCUCUGUAUGUGUGUGAGUGUGUUCCUGUGUCUGGGGGAUUAUCAGUGGUUAGGUGUGUGGUGUGUAUGGCUGGGUGACUGCUUCUGGGUGUCUUUGUGUGUUUGCCUAUCUGUCUAUGUUUUUGUAAUUAUGUGUGUGUAUAUUUACUCGGUCUCUACUUGUGUGUGUGAUAAACGUGUUAUUCUACAUUGCCUCACAAAAACACCCUAUGCAUGUGUGUGGAUAUGUUUCUCUGUUUUCCCUGUGAUCCGGGUCAUAUUUCCUUCUUGUCUUUCACAGUGUCUGUUUGUGUUUGUGUACAGGAGCUGCUACCUAAGCUUGUAUGUCUCUACGGGACAUCAAAACUCUUCACCCAAUAUUUACACACACACACACUAAAUAUAAAAAUAUAAAUAAUAUGUCUAGAAAGAUGAUAGAAUGUUUGUGGAAUAUGAAGGUCUAAUUUUGACAUAGUGCCCUGCAGUUCAUGUGCUGAUGUUGUAUGUAGGCUUGUUUUCUUGCGACAGGAGUCUGUGUGUUUAUGCACUGAGGAGGUCAGGAGUGUGGCAGAGCCAGCAGGGGGGCAGUGAUCAACAGACUGGGGCUCCCCUGCCGAGGGGCUCUGGGAUUAGGGCUAAACCCUGCCCUGCCAGAUGGGCACAACACAUCCCCAUCGCACACCAGCACCUUCUGUGGAAACCAGGCAAAUGGAACCAUUGUGAUAAUAACUGGUACACUUCUCAACUGACUCAGAGGACCAUACAGAAUGGCGGCAGGAGAGACGACUGAAAUGAGGUACUCUUCAAAGUAUCAGCUAGUGGACAGUAUGGCCAGUCAGCAGGUUCAAGGGUAUCGGAAAUGAAACUUACAGGUUGUUUUGAUGUGCUGUAUUCCAGAGCCACAGGCAACACUGAAAUUAUUGUGUGUGUGUGUGUGUGUGUGUGUGUGUGUGUGAGAGUGAGAGAGUGAGAGAGAGUAGAUUGGUGGCUCAGGAAUCGGCAGUGUGUUGAUUGCUUCCUGCUUGACUUUUAUCGCACACAACUGGCACUAAAUAGUUUCCAAUUCAGUUCAUGAAUCACUAGACUGGUGUUAUAGUCACUACUGUAACUGUUAUACUGUUUCAGGUUAGCUUUAAUAAUUGUUAUAAAUGAUGUAAUAACUGAACAACAGUCUAAAAGCCCUGAUAGCAUCCCAUAGAGGCUGUGCUGCUUCUAAAAUAAGUGGUUUAGACUAGCCGUUCAACAUUUCCAUGCUUAGAGUUCAACACUCUUGCUAGCAGGCCUAUUUGACAAAAAUGUCUACAUGUUAAAAUUUAGGAGUAUACAGCGUCAACCUGCUGUACGUCUUUGUGAUACCACCCCACCUGGAUCUGUUAUCCAGGGCGUCCCCAGCAUGACUUAGGAAAUUGUGUCUGUAUUAGUAGAAAGCAGAUUACAUGAGUAAAGUGUACAAACAAAUAAAAGAUUACAGGCUGUGAA